rnacentral:piRNA from 1 species
UGGACUAGAAAUUAAACCAAAGUAGGUAUA